UCCUGGUUUCCCAGGCAGUCCCACCAGAGUGCUCUACUCACGUAGAUAGCAACUGAUGGCAAGUGUUGCGCUCGUUAAAGGACUUAACCCAACAUCUCACGACACGAGCUGACGACAGCCAUGCAGCACCUGUGCAUGCGUCUAGACCGAAGCCUAGAAGAUUGUAUUUCUACAACUGUCACAUACAUGUCAAGCCUAGGUAAGGUUCCUCGCGUAGUAUCGAAUUAAACCACAUGUUCCACCGCUUGUGCGGACCCCCGUCAAUUCCUUUGAGUUUUAGUCUUGCGACCGUAGUCCCCAGGCGGAUCACUUAACGCGUUAGCUACGACACCAAUUCCGCAGAGCGAAACUGACGUCUAGUGAUCAUCGUUUACGGCGUGGACUAC
rnacentral:misc_RNA from 1 species